UUUUAUGGUGCUCCUCUAACUUUUUCACUUCAGUAAAAAAAUGAAUUGCAGUCUGAAUUAUCAAAUUUCAUUUGAAUUUGAUGGAAAAAAUGAUUGGUGUAAGAGAAUGUGAAACUGGGUACCAAUUCAGAAAGAACAAACAAACCGCUACCUUUCUUUUUUUAAUAAACUCAAGCAGAGAAUUUCUAGGUGUUCUACAGAAAGGCAUUAUAUCCUGCAGGUGCCCCCAGUAGCACAUAAAUGCCAGUGGGUACAGUGUUAAUGGUGUGCGAAGCAUUGCAUGCUGAAGUUGAAUUGCUCAGAGGAAUGUAUUUUCUUCUUCUUGGUGUGGAAUUGACACAAAAGAGGAAUGCAAGUGAACUGGAAUGAAUGCAAUCCAGAGUUACCAGUCUCUUCUUUGCUAUCCACAGGUACACAGAUGAAGAGUCUAGAGUAUACCUGCUUGAUAGGGGUAAUACCAGGGAGAAGGAGGCCCAGAAGGAGAGAGGAUCAGAAAAAGGGAGGUUAGAGGGAGAAAGGGAAUGGGAGGAACAGGAAACUUUAGAUUUUUUCGUUGAUAAAGAGACUGGGAAAGAAAAAUUUAAUGACUCUGAAGGGGAGGACACAGAGGAGACAGAGGAUUACAGACAGUUCAGAAAGUCUGUCCUGGCAGAUCAGGGUAAAAAUUUUCCUACUGCAUCUCACCGGAAUGCUGAGGAGGAAGGAACCAAAUACAAAUCUAAAAUACCAAUCAAGGGCAAUAGAGAGAGUGAUGGAUUUAGAGAUGAGAAAAGUUAUAAGCUUAAAGAGACUAGCUAUGUAGUGGAAAGGCCUAGUGCAACAAAAGAUAAGCACAAGGAAGAAGACAAGAGUUCUGAGAGACUAAUGAUGAAGAAAGAAACUCAGUCACCUGAGCAGGUAAAGUCUGAAAAGCUCAAAGAACUCUUUGAUUACAGUCCCCCUCUACACAAGAAUCUGGAUGCGAGAGAAAAAUCCACCUUCAGAGAGGAGAGCCCACUUAGGAUCAAAAUGAUAGCCAGUGACUCCCAUCGUCCUGAAGUUAAACUCAAAAUGGCACCGGUACCUCUUGAUGAUUCCAAUAGGUAAAUUAUUCCACUUUACACUGUGGUU